GUCGAGCGGAGAUGAGGUGCUUGCACCUUAUCUUAGCGGCGGACGGGUGAGUAAUGCUUAGGAAUCUGCCAUUUAGUGGGGGACAACAUUCCGAAAGGAAUGCUAAUACCGCAUACGUCCUACGGGAGAAAGCAGGGGAUCUUCGGACCUUGCGCUAAAUGAUGAGCCUAAGUCGGAUUAGCUAGUUGGUGGGGUAAAGGCCUACCAAGGCGACGAUCUGUAGCGGGUCUGAGAGGAUGAUCCGCCACACUGGGACUGAGACACGGCCCCAGCCUCCUACGGGAGGCAGCAGUGGGGGAAUAUUUGGACAAUGGGCGGAAGCCUUGAUCCAGCCAUGCCGCGUGUGUGAAGAAGGCCUUUUGGUUGUAAAGCACUUUAAGCGAGGAGGAGGCUACCUAGAUUAAUACUCUGGGAUAGUGGACGUUACUCGCAGAAUAAGCACCGGCUAACUCUGUGCCAGCAGCCGCGGUAAUACAGAGGGUGCGAGCGUUAAUCGGAUUUACUGGGCGUAAAGCGUGCGUAGGCGGCUGAUUAAGUCGGAUGUGAAAUCCCUGAGCUUAACUUAGGAAUUGCAUUCGAUACUGGUCAGCUAGAGUAUGGGAGAGGAUGGUAGAAUUCCAGGUGUAGCGGUGAAAUGCGUAGAGAUCUGGAGGAAUACCGAUGGCGAAGGCAGCCAUCUGGCCUAAUACUGACGCUGAGGUACGAAAGCAUGGGGAGCAAACAGGAUUAGAUACCCUGGUAGUCCAUGCCGUAAACGAUGUCUACUAGCCGUUGGGGCCUUUGAGGCUUUAGUGGCGCAGCUAACGCGAUAAGUAGACCGCCUGGGGAGUACGGUCGCAAGACUAAAACUCAAAUGAAUUGACGGGGGCCCGCACAAGCGGUGGAGCAUGUGGUUUAAUUCGAUGCAACGCGAAGAACCUUACCUGGCCUUGACAUACUAGAAACUUUCCAGAGAUGGAUUGGUGCCUUCGGGAAUCUAGAUACAGGUGCUGCAUGGCUGUCGUCAGCUCGUGUCGUGAGAUGUUGGGUUAAGUCCCGCAACGAGCGCAACCCUUUUCCUUACUUGCCAGCAUUUCGGAUGGGAACUUUAAGGAUACUGCCAGUGACAAACUGGAGGAAGGCGGGGACGACGUCAAGUCAUCAUGGCCCUUACGGCCAGGGCUACACACGUGCUACAAUGGUCGGUACAAAGGGUUGCUACCUAGCGAUAGGAUGCUAAUCUCAAAAAGCCGAUCGUAGUCCGGAUUGGAGUCUGCAACUCGACUCCAUGAAGUCGGAAUCGCUAGUAAUCGCGGAUCAGAAUGCCGCGGUGAAUACGUUCCCGGGCCUUGUACACACCGCCCGUCACACCAUGGGAGUUUGUUGCACCAGAAGUAGGUAGUCUAACCUUAGGGGGG
rnacentral:rRNA from 1 species